UUUCAUUGGCGGCGGUAUCGGCCGCUAUCUGCCUGCGCUGCAGGAGAAGGAACCGGAUGCCAAUCUGACGGCGGUUCAGUAUCCGGUAGUGAACA
rnacentral:tRNA from 1 species